AGAGGAAGUAAAAGUCGUAACAAGGUCUCCGUUGGUGAACCAGCGGAGGGAUCAUUACCGAGUUAUACAACUCAUCAACCCUGUGAACAUACCUAUAACGUUGCCUCGGCGGGAACAGACGGCCCCGUAACACGGGCCGCCCCCGCCAGAGGACCCCCUAACUCUGUUUCUAUAAUGUUUCUUCUGAGUAANACAAGCAAAUAAAUUAAAACUUUCAACAACGGAUCUCUUGGCUCUGGCAUCGAUGAAGAACGCAGCGAAAUGCGAUAAGUAAUGUGAAUUGCAGAAUUCAGUGAAUCAUCGAAUCUUUGAACGCACAUUGCGCCCGCCAGUAUUCUGGCGGGCAUGCCUGUUCGAGCGUCAUUACAACCCUCAGGCCCCCGGGCCUGGCGUUGGGGAUCGGCGNGAAGCCCCCUGCGGGCACAACGCCGUCCCCCAAAUACAGUGGCGGUCCCGCCGCAGCUUCCAUUGCGUAGUAGCUAACACCUCGCAACUGGAGAGCGGCGCGGCCACGCCGUAAAACACCCAACUUCUGAAUGUUGACCUCGAAUCAGGUAGGAAUACCCGCUGAACUUAAGCAUAUCAAUAAGCG
rnacentral:rRNA from 1 species